AACACUGUUAACCUGCGGUACCUGCGGAAGGAUCAUUGCAGAAAACACACAAGCCCUUGGGCUGGGUCUGGGGGUGCUACUGAUGCUGAUGUAGCGUUCUCUUUCCCUUUCCUUGGGCAAAAAACACAAACAACAUACAUGACUAGGAAGCUGGGUUGGGUUUGGGUUGUGAUUUGUCGAGGGGUAUCUAAGCAAAAGUAUUUGCCUGAUAAGCAGUAGCCUAUGAUUUGGGUUUGGAGA
rnacentral:misc_RNA from 1 species